rnacentral:SRP_RNA from 1 species
GCCAGGUGUGGUGGUGCACACCUGUAAUCCUAGCUACUCAGGAGGCUGAGGUAGGAGGAUCCCUUGAGCCCAGGAGUUUCAGGCUGCAGUGAGCUCUGAUUGCCCCAUUGCACUCUAGCCUGGGAGACAAGGAGAGACCCUGUCUCUG